UGCAGCUCAACUUAAGCGUGAGGAGAAGAGGUCCACCUAGAAGGAACUUUGGUUUCAGAAGAUCAGUCCUUGCCCAUUUCUCUGCCAUGGCCCAAUUGUUUUUCUUCCUCCUCUUCCUCCUUACCUGCUUCACUGGUUCCUUGGCCCAGUUCACCAUGACUCAACCAGCUUCUCUAUCGGCAUCCCCUGGAGGAACAGUCAGGAUCACCUGUACCAGGGCAGGUGGUGGCAUUAGUGAUUACUAUGUGAGUUGGUAUCAACAGAAACCUGCCACUAAACCAGAAUUAGUGAUCUAUCAAUUUUCUAGCAGACCUUCUGGAAUCCCCGAGCGAUUUUCGGGUUCUUAUGAUUCCUCCGCCAAUUCGGCCACUUUGACCAUCACCAACGUUCAACCAGAAGAUGAGGCUGACUAUUUCUGUUUGUCUUAUGAUGGCAAUGCUCAGUGCACAGUGAUUCCACCUUAUGGGGAACUGUGA